GAAACGCGAUAGUUAAUGUGAAUUGCAGAAUUCAGUGAAUCAUCGAGUCUUUGAACGCACAUUGCGCCCAUAGGUAUUCCUUUGGGCAUGUCUGUCCGAGCGUCAUUACGCACCCUCAAGCCCGGCUUGUGUGAUGGGCCCUGGCGUCUCGUUCGCGAGACGGGCCCGAAAGGCAGCGGCGGCGUCGACCCGAUGAGCCCGAGCGUAUGGGGACUUUUGUCACACGUUUGCGGUGCGGACCGGCGCCUGCUUGACUUUUCUGAUUAUCCAGGUUGACCUCGGAUCAGGUAGGGAUACCCGCUGAACUUAAGC
rnacentral:misc_RNA from 1 species